rnacentral:rRNA from 1 species
CACGUAGGGGGCGAGCGUUGUCCGGAAUCAUUGGGCGUAAAGAGCUCGUAGGCGGCUCAGUAAGUCGGGUGUGAAACCCCUAGGCUCAACCUAGGGACGCCACUCGAUACUGCUGUGGCUAGAGUCCAGUAGGGGAGUGUGGAAUUCCCGGUGUAGCGGUGAAAUGCGCAGAUAUCGGGAGGAACACCAGCGGCGAAGGCGGCACUCUGGGCUGGAACUGACGCUGAGGAGCGAAAGCGUGGGUAGCAAACAGG